UACGGUGCUGAAGCAACAAAUGCCCUGCUUCCAGGAAAAGCCUCUAAGCAUCAGGUAACAUCAAAUCGUACCCCAAACCGACACAGGUGGUCAGGUAGAGAAUACCAAGGCGCUUGAGAGAACUCGGGUGAAGGAACUAGGCAAAAUGGUGCCGUAACUUCGGGAGAAGGCACGCUGAUAUGUAGGUGAAGUCCCUCGCGGAUGGAGCUGAAAUCAGUCGAAGAUACCAGCUGGCUGCAACUGUUUAUUAAAAACACAGCACUGUGCAAACACGAAAGUGGACGUAUACGGUGUGACGCCUGCCCGGUGCCGGAAGGUUAAUUGAUGGGGUCAGCGCAAGCGAAGCUCUUGAUCGAAGCCCCGGUAAACGGCGGCCGUAACUAUAACGGUCCUAAGGUAGCGAAAUUCCUUGUCGGGUAAGUUCCGACCUGCACGAAUGGCGUAAUGAUGGCCAGGCUGUCUCCACCCGAGACUCAGUGAAAUUGAACUCGCUGUGAAGAUGCAGUGUACCCGCGGCAAGACGGAAAGACCCCGUGAACCUUUACUAUAGCUUGACACUGAACAUUGAGCCUUGAUGUGUAGGAUAGGUGGGAGGCUUUGAAGUGUGGACGCCAGUCUGCAUGGAGCCGACCUUGAAAUACCACCCUUUAAUGUUUGAUGUUCUAACGUUGACCCGUAAUCCGGGUUGCGGACAGUGUCUGGUGGGUAGUUUGACUGGGGCGGUCUCCUCCUAAAGAGUAACGGAGGAGCACGAAGGUUGGCUAAUCCUGGUCGGACAUCAGGAGGUUAGUGCAAUGGCAUAAGCCAGCUUGACUGCGAGCGUGACGGCGCGAGCAGGUGCGAAAGCAGGUCAUAGUGAUCCGGUGGUUCUGAAUGGAAGGGCCAUCGCUCAACGGAUAAAAGGUACUCCGGGGAUAACAGGCUGAUACCGCCCAAGAGUUCAUAUCGACGGCGGUGUUUGGCACCUCGAUGUCGGCUCAUCACAUCCUGGGGCUGAAGUAGGUCCCAAGGGUAUGGCUGUUCGCCAUUUAAAGUGGUACGCGAGCUGGGUUUAGAACGUCGUGAGACAGUUCGGUCCCUAUCUGCCGUGGGCGCUGGAGAACUGAGGGGGGCUGCUCCUAGUACGAGAGGACCGGAGUGGACGCAUCACUGGUGUUCGGGUUGUCAUGCCAAUGGCACUGCCCGGUAGCUAAAUGCGGAAGAGAUAAGUGCUGAAAGCAUCUAAGCACGAAACUUGCCCCGAGAUGAGUUCUCCCUGACUCCUUGAGAGUCCUGAAGGAACGUUGAAGACGACGACGUUGAUAGGCCGGGUGUGUAAGCGCAGCGAUGCGUUGAGCUAACCGGUACUAAUGAACCGUGAGGCUUAACCUUACAACGCCGAAGGUGUUU
rnacentral:rRNA from 1 species